CUACGUGCCAGCAGCCGCGGUAAUACGGAGGAUGCGAGCGUUAUCCGGAUUUAUUGGGUUUAAAGGGUGCGUAGGUUGUUCGGUAAGUCAGCGGUGAAACCUGAGCGCUCAACGUUCAGCCUGCCGUUGAAACUGCCGGGCUUGAGUUCAGUGGCGGCAGGCGGAAUUCGUGGUGUAGCGGUGAAAUGCAUAGAUAUCACAAGGAACUCCGAUUGCGAAGGCAGCUUGCCAUACUGCGACUGACACUGAAGCACGAAGGCGUGGGUAUCAAACAGGAUUAGAUACCCUGGUAGUCCACGCAGUAAACGAUGAUUACUAGGAGUUUGCGAUAUACCGUCAAGCUUCCACAGCGAAAGCGUUAAGUAAUCCACCUGGGGAGUACGCCGGCAACGGUGAAACUCAAAGGAAUUGACGGGGGCCCGCACAAGCGGAGGAACAUGUGGUUUAAUUCGAUGAUACGCGAGGAACCUUACCCGGGAUUGAA
rnacentral:rRNA from 1 species